GUCCUGGUGGUCUAGUGGUUAGAGUGCCUGCCUUGGAUGCAGGAGGUUGUGAGUUCGAGCCUCGGCUGAGUCA